GUUAAGCUUUCUAUCAGUAAAACCAAAAGGAGGAGUUUUGAUUCAGAGAUAAUCACCAUGUGCUGAUUAAUGGUAGUGGGUGCCUCUGCUAACAGAAACUUUCUCAGGAGAGGAUCUGCAGCUGAAGAUACAUAAGACUGUCCCUGUUCAAGGUUUUCUUUCUGCUUGAAAACCCCCAGCUUCAUUUUUCCCCUGCAGAAAUACUCCAGACUUGUUAAGUCCUUUCAGAUACAGAGAAGAGGAAACAAACCCUAUUAUUAUUUUCCAAGCUUGGAUUGUCAUGAAAAUGUGGAGAGAAAUGGACACUUUCAGGGCACAAUUCAUUUCCUUUCAAGGGCUAUGAAGUCUAAAAAGAUCCAAGAAUUCUACAAAUUUCACAAAGUGUAAAAGGAUGCAAGCUCAUGUGCAACAGGGAAUCACCACAGGGGCCAUGGUAAUGCAACAUCUCCAGCUUGCACCUAAACAUAUGUCCUGCAAGCAAGGGAUGUAAAUGCAAUAGAAACCUCUGUGUAUCACGUGUGAAGCUGAAACCCCAACCUGUUUUCUCAAUUCCAUAAAUAAAUGAUUCCAUCAUGAGGAAAAUAAAGUUUUCCUUUAUUUCUAAUUUAACCUCUUUUUGGCUUGAAGGUAGAAGACCUCAUCUGUUGUGCAGAUUUUCUGCUGUUGCACAUUGA